rnacentral:rRNA from 1 species
AUUGAACGCUGGCGGCAGGCCUAACACAUGCAAGUCGAGCGGCAGCGGAAAGUAGCUUGCUACUUUGCCGGCGAGCGGCGGACGGGUGAGUAAUGUCUGGGAAACUGCCUGAUGGAGGGGGAUAACUACUGGAAACGGUAGCUAAUACCGCAUAACAUCGCAAGACCGAAGAGGGGGACCCUCGGGCCUCUUGCCAUCAGAUGUGCCCAGAUGGGAUUAGCUAGUAGGUGGGGUAACGGCUCACCUAGGCGACGAUCCCUAGCUGGUCUGAGAGGAUGACCAGCCACACUGGAACUGAGACACGGUCCAGACUCCUACGGGAGGCAGCAGUGGGGAAUAUUGCACAAUGGGCGCAAGCCUGAUGCAGCCAUGCCGCGUGUAUGAAGAAGGCCUUCGGGUUGUAAAGUACUUUCAGCGGGGAGGAAGGUGUUGAGGUUAAUAACCUCAGCAAUUGACGUUACCCGCAGAAGAAGCACCGGCUAACUCCGUGCCAGCCGCCGCGGUAAGAC